UUCAUAAAUAGCGAUUUAUGAUUAGGAUACAUUAUACAUCUUUAUUCUUCUGAGCAACAAUACAACCUCGAAGAUAUUUUUUCAUAUUGUUUCUCACUCCUCUUUUUAUUCAAUCCAAAUCUAUUCAAAAAUUACUCAACUAGAUGGAAGCGGUUGAAAUAAAAUAUGAUAUAAGGCAGCUUAAAGCAGAAGACCGGGUUGUUUUGGAUCUUCAAGGCGAAGGUCCUUGGUUAACAAAUUACCAAUCGGCUAUAUAUCAAGCUGGAAAUUCUUGUUGUAGGGGUGGUACAAUGGUGUUGGGUAUACCUUCUACUUAUGAUGAUCCUAAUCAUCCAAUUUUUAUUUUGACAAUAAUGGGAAGUUAUAAUAAUAUCGAUGUUACCACCUCCUUUAUAGUUUAUAAACUCAAUUCUUAUUUUUCUGGUUAUGCACAUCAUGAUAUAGAUAUGGAUAUAAGAAGCGAAGAUAUUGAUUGGUUUAUUUGUGAAGGUAGUAGAGUAGUGUUGUCAUUUCCGGAAAAAGAUGAUGAGGUAAAAAUGGCUGGGUUUACUGUGGAUUAUACCGCUGAUAUUAUAACUGAACUCAGCAAGAAUAUGGGUGCUUAAAGUAUCUUAAGAGCACUUUACAUAUUGAAGUUUAAAAAUGAAAAAAAUAAUGUUUUUAUGAUUAUGUCAUUUGUUUGCUGAGCCGCUUAGGUUCACAGCCUUCUAUCAAGCUGUUGCAGAAAGUAUGUUUUUCGAUGCCAAUUUUUUUCAACCAGGUGUUUUAGAUCCUACUACAUGGGAAACUUUAUCGAAAAAUGUGGUACAUUUUUCAAGGAAAAUGAAGUUUAUCAGGGCAGAUCUUUAUGAUUUACAACGUUUACAAAUAAAUAAGGAUAAUUUCAGAUAAAAAAUAACAAUGUUGUUAAGGGAAGAUCCAGAUGCAAAACUGCGGUGGAAGGAGAAGAUGAGGAGUGAAUUUGCUCAAAACUUCUUCGGGAAACGUGAGAUAAGGACAGGAAUUAGAAGGAGACUGCCAAUAUUAUUGGGGACGGGUUCAUCAAGGGGUAAACAAUCCCAACAGAAUCUGAUGAGACUUAAAAAAGAUUUAUACGAUCAACAAUGUCAAGUACAAGAAAUGUUGAUUCUUUGGGUGGUCUACCAGAGCUUUGAAAGAGCCCGAAGAUUACAUUUGCGGCUUGAUUGUUGAAAAUUCUGAUUUUUACGUAGCUUCACAAGAUCUGUCUUACUGUUUUGAUUUUUACGGUACUGAUUACCGUAUCAAUGAAGCUGCAAUGAGCGUUUUGCGAUCUUUCGUUGACGGUUGAUUAGGGAAAGUGGAUUAUGAUCGCAACAAAAUUCUGAUGUUCGUGUUUUUCUGUAUGGUGCAAUUUGUAAUGAGGCGGCUAACGAGGAGCAGCUCUUGAAAUAGCUUUUGCUCCUUAGUUCAUGUAUAUUUUUAUUUAAAAAAACGAUUAGUUUAUUUGUUAGAUUAGUAUGAUUAGUGAUUAGUUUCUCUACCAUUUGGAUCAAGAUCAUUUGAAUAUCGAGGAAUAUGAAUGGUUUUUUUGCUUUUCGAAA